rnacentral:rRNA from 1 species
GGAGUCUAGCAUGUGCGCGAGUCAUUGGGACGAUGACGAAUCCUAAAGGCGCAAUGAACGUAAAGGUCCGCCCUCGCGCGCGACCUAGGGAAGAUGGGAAGCCGUAAAGGCGACCCCGCACUCCCGGGGCGUCUCGAUCUCAUCGCGAGAUGAGGCGCACCAAGAGCGUACACGCUGGGACCCGAAAGAUGGUGAACUAUGCCUGGUCAGGACGAAGUCAGGGGAAACCCUGAUGGAGGUCCGUAGCGAUUCUGACGUGCAAAUCGAUCGUCGGAACUGGGUAUAGGGGCGAAAGACUAAUCGAACUAUCUAGUAGCUGGUUCCCUCUGAAGUUUCCCUCAGGAUAGCUGGCGCUCGCUAAAAUGCGAGUCUCAUCUGGUAAAGCGAAUGAUUAGAGGCAUUGGGGUCGAAACGGUUUCAACCUAUUCUCAAACUUUAAAUGGGUGAGAUCUCCGGCUUGUUUGAAUAUAAAGCCGCGAGAUCGGAUCAGAGUGCCAAGUGGGCCAAUUUUGGUAAGCAGAACUGGCGAUGCGGGAUGAACCGAACGUCGAGUU